AUUGAACGCUGGCGGCAGGCCUAACACAUGCAAGUCGAACGAGUGGCGGACGGGUGAGUAAUGUCUGGGAAACUGCCUGAUGGAGGGGGAUAACUACUGGAAACGGUAGCUAAUACCGCAUACCAUCAGAUGUGCCCAGAUGGGAUUCACGAGUUGGUGGGGUAACGGCGCACCAAGGCGACGAGCCCUAGCUGGUCUGAGAGGAUGACCGGCCACAUUGGGACUGAGACACGGUCCAGACUCCUACGGGAGGAAGCAGUGGGGAAUAUUGGACAAUGGGAGCAAGCCUGAUGCAGCCAUGCCGCGUGUAUGAAGAAGGCCUUCGGAUUGUAAAGUACUUUCAGCGGGGAGGCGUUACCCGCAGAAGAAGCACCGGCUAACUCCGUGCCAGCAGCCGCGGUAGUAC
rnacentral:rRNA from 1 species